rnacentral:rRNA from 1 species
GCGUGAGCGAUGAAGGCCUUAGGGUCGUAAAACUCUUUCGCCAGGGAUGAUAAUGACAGUACCUGGUAAAGAAACCCCGGCUAACUCCGUGCCAGCAGCCGCGGUAAUACGGAGGGGGUUAGCGUUGUUCGGAAUUACUGGGCGUAAAGCGUACGUAGGCGGACCAGUCAGUUAGAGGUGAAAUCCCGGGGCUCAACCCCGGAACUGCCUUUAAUACUGCUGGUCUUGAGUUCGAGAGAGGUGAGUGGAAUUCCGAGUGUAGAGGUGAAAUUCGU